UGAGGAGGUAUCCCUUGUGGAACUCCAGGGGGAGGUAUUCCUGGAGGAGGUGUAGCUGAAGACAAUGGUGGGAGGGGCAUGACAGGUGGAGGUGCUGUUGAAGAGAGAGAUGGUGGGGGGAGAACUGGUGGUGGCCCUGCAGAAGAGAGAGAAGGAGGCAUCCCUGGUGGGGGAACAGAGGUUGGUAGAGAAGGUGGCAUAACAGGUGGGGGCAUGCCAGGUGGUGGCACUGUA
rnacentral:lncRNA from 1 species